rnacentral:rRNA from 1 species
CUACGGGGCGCUCCAGUGGGGAAUAUUGGACAAUGGGCGCAAGCCUGAUCCAGCAAUGCCGCGUGAGUGAAGACGGCCUUAGGGUUGUAAAACUCUUUCGCUAGGGAAGAUAAUGACUGUACCUAGUAAAGAAGUCCCGGCUAACUCCGUGCCAGCAGCCGCGGUAAUACGGAGGGGACUAGCGUUGUUCGGAAUUACUGGGCGUAAAGAGUUCGUAGGCGGACUGACAAGUUAGAGGUGAAAUCCCAGUGCUCAACCCUGGAACUGCCUUUAAAACUGUCAGUCUAGAGACCGGAAGAGGUUAGGGGAAUACCUAGUGUAGAGGUGAAAUUCGUAGAUAUUAGGUGGAACACCAGUGGCGAAGGCGCCUAACUGGUCCGGUACUGACGCUGAGGAACGAAAGCGUGGGGAGCAAACAGGAUUAGAUACCCUGGUAGUC